UUUCAGAUAAAAGUAGAGUGGGUAAUUUACAGACUUUUUGUCCCGCUAACGUUUAUUUAUCUGUUUUUCCAUUGUCACUGAUUCAUUUUUGUGGCUUGCUAGCAAACUCUGCUCUGACUGCUACUGAUGGGUGUGAAGCCAGAGUUACAUAAAGUUAACAUUAGUCUAUAGGUCCCAAAGUGGUCUGACGCUAUCAUUAAGAGGGCAAGAGGUCUAAUUUACUGUUGAGAUUAGCCCAGUUUAAUUUAGCAGAGAUUAACCUAAUAGUUACAAGCAAGUGAACUAAUCAUCCAGGUUAAGACGUUAGCUGUAUCGCGCCACUGUACAACCGUGUCUUUGCUAUCACUGUUUGCUUUGUAUUAGUCAUGAUUUAGCUUUAAUCCGAAGUUAGUCUACAAUAGACAAGUUUACGAAUUAAGUUGGCAAGAAUUCCACGAUCUGCUUUACUCAAGUGUAUAGAUUGGACGGUUGAUCUAUUUAUUUAUGUAGACUAUUUAUUAUAUUGGAAAAGUAUUUGCACUAAACUUUUUUUUUGGCUGGGCCACAACAGUGGCCAGCCCUACAAAUGCGAAUGUCUGUGACUUACUGAGUGAAUGAGUGAUGAAGUUACACCAUUGGUCGGCCGAGUUAUGAAGUUACACCAUUGGUCGACGGGUCCAGCCAUAUACUAGGUUUUGACCUGGUCUUGUUUUUUUGAGGACUUGGAUUUCCCCAAAGUAUCAAGGGCAAAAAAGCAGUGGCUCUGAAGGUAGGCCCUUAAAUACAGCCACAGGUGCCAAUUAAGGCCCAAUUAACUCCUAAUUACGACAAAUGGCCAAUCUUCACUAAUAUUCUGGUCAUGAACACCAUUUGGGAUGGACCUGGAACAAGAAUAAAUGCCAAAUUCACAAUUACCAGCAGCCCCUGGAUUAGUGAUGUGAUGGUAUACCGUAAAAUUCAAAUAUGAAAUCGUACUAUCAUAAACGUACCGUAAUACCGUGAUAGUAAAUCACAUGACAAAAGCUAUUUUCAUGCGAGGAUUACCCUAUUAAAUUACCCUCAUAAAAUAUCUAAAUAACCCACAUUAAAUAAUAUACUGGACCUGAAUUGAGAUAAUGAAAUCUGAUCCUAGAUCUGUAUUUAGAGGCAAAGUCAUUUAAAAACACAGGUCGCGUCUUUUCAGACAAUCAUUUUGCUUGAUGCAUGACGUGCGUGCCCCCACAGGAGCGAGCUGCUGCAUGGCUGCCGCUCUCCCACUCGUUCUUUCUGAUGUAGAAAGUUAACAUGCUACCUACAAAUUACCAGCAAUGUUAUUUUUUUUUGUUUAUGUUAAAAAAUUAGCUAAAUUAGUGCCGAGGAGUCAGGCGAAAGCAGGAGAGAGGCAAAGAGAAAGUCGUCGGAAGAACUGAGGUUGAAGUUGAACUCACAGACUAGGUAGGGCCAGGUAUGCACUGAGAGACUUUUUUGGAUGUUUUGAAAAGAAACAUGCUUUCACAAGAACAAAGAAAUAUUGAUACAGCAUAUUAAAUACAUUGACACAGCACAACAUUAUAAUUCUACACUGGUGACUUAUACAACUGUUGUUUCCAUGCUGAUGAAUUGUAAUGUUACAGCUCUCAAUUAUAACGAUUACAUGUUUGAGCGAUUGCGAUUUAAUUGUAGG